rnacentral:rRNA from 1 species
UACGUAGGGAGCAAGCGUUGUCCGGAAUCAUUGGGCGUAAAGCGCGCAUAGGUGGCUUCGUAAGUCCGUUGUGAAAGUCAAAGGCUCAACCUUUGAAAGCCGAUGGAUACUGCGGAGCUAGAGUACGGAAGAGGCGAGUGGAAUUCCUGGUGUAGCGGUGGAAUGCGCAGAUAUCAGGAGGAACACCAAUAGCGAAGGCAGCUCGCUGGGACGUUACUGACACUGAGGCGCGAAAGCGUGGGGAGCGAACAGG